GACGCCAUCGUCUAGCGGUCUUGGACAUCGGGUUUUCAUCCCGAAAAUCGCGGGUUCGAAUCCCGCUGGCGUCA
rnacentral:tRNA from 1 species